UNUGACUUGAGUGCAGAAGGGGAGAGUGGAAUUCCAUGUGUAGCGGUGAAAUGCGUAGAUAUAUGGAGGAACACCAGUGGCGAAAGCGGCUCUCUGNUCUGUCACUGACGCUGAGGCUCGAAAGCGUGGGUAGCGAACAGGAUUAGAUACCCUGGUAGUNCACGCCGUAAACGAUGAGUGCUAGGUGUUAGGCCCUUUCCGGGGCUUAGUGUCGGAGCUAACGCAAUAAGCACUCCGCCUGGGGAGUACGACCGCAAGGUUGAAACUCAAAGGAAUUGACGGGGGCCCGCACAAGCGGUGGAGCAUGUGGUUUAAUUCGAAGCAACGCGAAGAACCUACCAGGUCUUGACAUCCCGAUGCUAUUCUUAGAGAUAGGAAGUUACUUCGGUACAUCGGAGACAGGUGGUGCAUGGUUGUCGUCAGCUCGUGUCGUGAGAUGUUGGGUUAAGUCCCGCAACGAGCGCAACCCUUAUUGUUAGUUGCCAUCAUUCAGUUGGGCACUCUAGCGAGACUGCCGGUAAUAAACCGGAGGAAGGUGGGGAUGACGUCAAAUCAUCAUGCCCCUUAUGACCUGGGCUACACACGUGCUACAAUGGCUGGUACAACGAGUCGCAAGCCGGUGACGGCAAGCUAAUCUCUUAAAGCCAGUCUCAGUUCGGAUUGUAGGCUGCAACUCGCCUACAUGAAGUCGGAAUCGCUAGUAAUCGCGGAUCAGCACGCCGCGGUGAAUACGUUCCCGGGCCUUGUACACACCGCCCGUCACACCACGAGAGUUUGUAACACCCGAA
rnacentral:rRNA from 1 species